rnacentral:misc_RNA from 2 species
AACGCACAUUGCGCCCUCUGGUAUUCCGGGGGGCAUGCCUGUUCGAGCGUCAUUACAACCCUCAAGCUCUGCUUGGUGUCGGGUGCCACUGCCUACGCGGUGCGCCUCAGAAUCAGUGGCGGUGCCAUUCGGCUUCAAGCGUAGUAAUUCUUCUCGCUAUGGAGUACCGGGUGAGUGCUUGCCAGCAACCCCAAAUUUUUUAAGGUUGACCUCGGAUCAGGUAGGGAUACCCGCUGAACUUAA